rnacentral:rRNA from 1 species
UACGUAGGGUGCGAGCGUUAAUCGGAAUUACUGGGCGUAAAGCGUGCGCAGGCGGUUUGAUAAGCCAGAUGUGAAAUCCCCGAGCUCAACUUGGGAACUGCGUUUGGAACUGUCAGACUAGAGAGCGUCAGAGGGGGGUGGAAUUCCGCGUGUAGCAGUGAAAUGCGUAGAGAUGCGGAGGAACACCGAUGGCGAAGGCAGCCCCCUGGGAUGACACUGACGCUCAUGCACGAAAGCGUGGGGAGCAAACAGG